GUUAUCUUUAAUGUGGUUUGAUUAUACUUUAAAACAUGUAUUUGGUAGUUUUCUAUACAUAUAUAUCAAUAUAUAUAUAUAUAUAUUUUAAGCUAAUUUGUACCAGUAUGAUUUUUGAUUGAUUUUCAUCUUGGAAUAUGGAGUUUUAGGGGUCACAUGAGGGAAGUGUUAAAUGAGGGCCCCCUGUAUCCAACCCACUCC
rnacentral:lncRNA from 1 species